CACUUUGGUGAUCUAGCUCUAUGAGUGUGUAUUACCUUAUAAAGCUAGGUUAGCAAAGUA
rnacentral:pre_miRNA from 1 species